rnacentral:rRNA from 1 species
GACGAACGCUGGCGGCGUGCUUAACACAUGCAAGUCGAACGAAGUGGCGAACGGGUGAGUAACGCGUAAUCAACCUGCCCUUCAGAGGGGGACAACAGUUGGAAACGACUGAUAAUACCGCAUACUGAAGGAGGGGAUUGCGUCUGAUUAGCUCGCUGGAGGGGUAACGGCCCACUAAGGGGAUGAUCAGUAGCCGGGCUGGGAGGAUGAACGGGCAAAAUGGGACUGAGACAAAGGCCAGACUCCUACGGGAGGCAGCAGGGGGGAAUCGUCCUCAAUGGAGGAAAGUCUGACGGAGCAAAGCCGCGUGGGUGAUGACGGGCUUCGGGUUGGAAAGCUCUGUUAAUCGGGACGCGGUACCGGAAUAGAAAGCCACGGCUAACUACGUGCCAGCAGCCGCGGUAAUUC